rnacentral:lncRNA from 1 species
UAGCUGUAAUUUAUAGUGCUUGGGUGUCGUGGUUAAAAUGUAUAACUCUGGGAUUGAUAUUGAUGAUGUGAUGUUAAUGAAUAAAUCGAGUUUUAUUUGCCGAAUGACAUGUUAUUUUAGAAAUACAAAUUGAGUGUUGCUAAUGGUGAGUUUUCUUUAAACUCCUUUAUUAUUUCCAUGCUUGAAAUUCUUAUCAAUUUUACAUGG